rnacentral:rRNA from 1 species
AGAGUUUGAUCAUGGCUCAGAACGAACGCUGGCGGCAUGCCUAAUACAUGCAAGUCGAACGCGCCUAGCAAUAGGCGAGUGGCGGACGGGUGAGUAACGCGUGGGAACCUGCCCUUGAGUGCGGGAUAACCGAGGGAAACUUCGGCUAAUACCGCAUGCGCCCCGGGCAACUGGGGGAAAGAUUUAUCGCUCGAGGAGGGGCCCGCGUCGGAUUAGCUAGUUGGUGGGGUAACGGCCUACCAAGGCGAUGAUCCGUAGCUGGUCUGAGAGGAUGAUCAGCCACACUGGGACUGAGACACGGCCCAGACUCCUACGGGAGGCAGCAGUAGGGAAUAUUGGACAAUGGGGGCAACCCUGAUCCAGCAAUGCCGCGUGAGUGAUGAAGGCCUUAGGGUUGUAAAGCUCUUUCGCACGCGACGAUGAUGACGGUAGCGUGAGAAGAAGCCCCGGCUAACUUCGUGCCAGCAGCCGCGGUAAUACGAAGGGGGCGAGCGUUGUUCGGAAUUACUGGGCGUAAAGGGCGCGCGGGCGGCUCUGCAAGUCAGGCGUGAAAGCCCCGGGCUUAACCUGGGAAUUGCGCUUGGGACUGUGGGGCUUGAGUUCGGGAGAGGAGAGUGGAAUUCCCAGUGUAGAGGUGAAAUUCGUAGAUAUUGGGAAGAACACCGGUGGCGAAGGCGGCUCUCUGGACCGAUACUGACGCUGAGGCGCGAAAGCGUGGGGAGCAAACAGGAUUAGAUACCCUAGUAGUCC